UCUUCAUAUGAGUUCGUGAUUAAGGAUGAUAAAGGACAAACACAAGACACUAUUUACUUAGAAAUAUUUAAUAGUUAUUACGGAUAUUAAUCCUCUUUCUUUUUUAUUUUUCUUUUUUCUUUAUGCACUUUGGUUACAGAAUGGAACUCUAAUAAUUCAGAGUUCGUGUCGAGAGAUCAUUAAAAAGUAAAACCAAAAUGAAUUCUCAUUGCUAGUAAGUUUUUUUAUCUGACCACCUUAACGUGUUUCUAAAGGAACAAACAUAUUACAUUGAUACACUUUUGAGAUAUUUUAUGAUUAUUUACAAUGUUAUUCUUAUUUUGUGAUUUUCUCUUUUCUUCCAUGAAAAGUUAUUAAAUACUAAAAAUUUGAUAUAAAAAUAGCUAAUUAAUUAUUAUGAUUGGAAAUUUUUAUAGAACCAUUUAACAAGUGUGUUAAAGGGACAAACACGACACAUUAGUGUAUAUAAAAGACAAUUCAUAAAAUUCAUAAAUAAUAUAAUUUUAGGAUUUCUUUAGCAACUCUACAACCUCUUUGCAUAAAUAAACUUAUUAUUUCUACAAACUAUUUAAUUGAUCUAAGGUGAGCACGAUAUAUAUAUACAUCAUAAAUUAAGUGAUAGAAUCAUAUCCUAGUUGAUUAAUUCAUAUAAUAGAAAAUAUGGCAAAAUAUAUUCACUUUAUUUAUGUUAUGUUUUUUGUUCUCUCUUUCUUUUUUGUAGCAACGAUGGUUAAUGCUGGUGGUAAAAAAUGUGUUGAUAUUGCUGAUUGUCCAAAGGAAUUGUGCGCACGUACUUUGUCACCAAUGUGUUAUUUUGGUUAUUGUAUUUGCAAAUGAAUAUUCAUGUGUUGUGAUUUAGUCAUUGAUAUUGGCAUCUAAUAAUUUAGUUUUCUUUUAGUUUUAAUAAUUCCAAGUAUCUUGUUGUUAUGGCCUUCUACUAGAUUAUUUUAUACAAAAUAUAAAUUUGUCUCCUUUUCUUUCAA